GCGUAGAUGGCCGAGUGGUCUAAGGCGGUGGACUUAAGCGAUUCUAAAAGAAUCUAAAUUACCCACUAUCGUAAGAUGCAGGAGUUCGAACCUCCUUCUACGCA
rnacentral:tRNA from 1 species